UACGUAGGGGGCGAGCGUUGUCCGGAUUUAUUGGGCGUAAAGAGCUUGUAGGCGGUCUGUCGCGUCUGCUGUGAAAAUCCGGGGCUCAACCCCGGGCCUGCAUUCGAUACGGGCAGACUAGAGUUCGGUAGGGGAGUCUGGAAUUCCUGGUGUAGCGGUGAAAUGCGCAGAUAUCAGGAGGAACACCGGUGGCGAAGGCGGGACUCUGGGCCGAUACUGACGCUGAGGAGCGAAAGCGUGGGGAGCAAACAGG
rnacentral:rRNA from 1 species